rnacentral:rRNA from 1 species
AGGGUUCGAUCAUGGCUCAGGAUGAACGCUAGCGGCACGCUUCAUACAUGCAAGUCGAGGGGCAGCAUAAAGUACUUGUACUUUGAUGGCGACCGGCGAACGGGUGCGUAACGCGUAUGCAACUUACCUUUUACUAGAGAAUAGCCAAGAGAAAUUUUGAUUAAUGCUCUAUACUCUUUUUAACUCACAUGAGUUUUUAAGAAAAGCUCCGGCGGUAAAAGAUGGGCAUGCGUCCUAUUAGCUUGUAGGUGAGGUAACGGCUCACCUAAGCUCCGAUAGGUAGGGGUCCUGAGAGGGAGAUCCCCCACACUGGUACUGAGACACGGACCAGACUUCUACGGAAGGCAGCAGUAAGGAAUAUUGGACAAUGGAGGAAACUCUGAUCCAGCGAUGCCGCGUGAAGGAAGACGGCCCUAUGGGUUGUAAACUUCUUUUAUACAGGAAGAAACCUUUCCACGUGUGGAAAGCUGACGGUACUGUAAGAAUAAGGAUCGGCUAACUCCGUGCCAGCCGCCGCGGUAAUAC